UUGGAAAGGUCAGCGUGGAAUGGUUGGCUGUUGAGAAGACAAAAGUUUCUGGGACAUUUCCACCCCGCAAACGUGGUUGGACUGGAUAUGUUGAGAAGGACACCGCUGGCCAGACAAACAUAUAUUCUGUUGAGCCUGCAGUUUAUGUAGCAGAAAGUGGAAUAAGUUCAGGAAGUGCAGGGUCUUCAGCUAAUGGAGCGGAGAACA